UGAUUCCUACGGGGCGCAGCAGUGAGGAAUAUUGGUCAAUGGGCUUACGCCUGAACCAGCCAAGUCGCGUGAGGGAAGACUGCCCUAUGGGUUGUAAACUUCUUUUAUAUGGGAAUAAAACAGGGUAUGCAUACCCUCUUGUAUGUACCAUAUGAAUAAGGAUCGGCUAACUCCGUGCCAGCAGCCGCGGUAAUACGGAGGAUCCGAGCGUUAUCCGGAUUUAUUGGGUUUAAAGGGAGCGUAGGUGGAUUGUUAAGUCAGUUGUGAAAGUUUGCGGCUCAACCGUAAAAUUGCAGUUGAAACUG
rnacentral:rRNA from 1 species